rnacentral:rRNA from 1 species
GACGAACGCUGGCGGCGUGCUUAACACAUGCAAGUCGAACGGAAAGGCCCUGCUUUUGUGGGGUGCUCGAGUGGCGAACGGGUGAGUAACACGUGAGUAACCUGCCCUUGACUUUGGGAUAACUUCAGGAAACUGGGGCUAAUACCGGAUAGGAGCUACUGCUGCAUGGUGGGGGUUGGAAAGUUUCGGCGGUUGGGGAUGGACUCGCGGCUUAUCAGCUUGUUGGUGGGGUAGUGGCUUACCAAGGCUUUGACGGGUAGCCGGCCUGAGAGGGUGACCGGCCACAAGGGGACUGAGAUACGGCCCAGACUCCUACGGGAGGCAGUAGGGGGGAAUAUUGCACAAUGGGCGGAAGCCUGAGGUAGCAACGCCGCGUGCGGGAUGAUGGCCUUCGGGUUGUAAACCGCUUUCGCCGGUGACGAAGCGUGAGUGACGGUAAUGGGUAAAGAAGCACCGGCUAACUACGUG